CUGUUUUUCUACAGUCAGUCUAUGGAAGCAACACGUCUCUGGAGCGUCGUCGUGAAAGAUGACAGGAAGAAGGGAGGGAGGAAGGAAGCAAGGAAGGAAGGAACUGUCAAAACAGAUUGGGUCUCUUGAAUGAUAUGUGGCAUCAAUGGAAGACAUCUGGAGGAAGAAGAGGAAGCGUAUACAGACCAACUGAAGGACCAUCUUCUCUUCACUGAAGCUCUGAGGUAGGAUAUGUUUUCUCUCAGUAUUACCAGCUGCUGUGUUUAAUGUUGAUGGAACUGAGUUCACUUUAAAGGGUCAGAUCAUCACAGAAUCUCUUUGGCAGACCUCCAUUCAGUGCUUGAAGUGGAGACAAAUAAGUGUCAGUGCU